rnacentral:rRNA from 1 species
UACGUAGGUGGCAAGCGUUGUCCGGAAUUAUUGGGCGUAAAGCGCGCGCAGGCGGUCUCUUAAGUCUGAUGUGAAAUCUCGCGGCUCAACCGUGAGCGGUCAUUGGAAACUGGGAGACUUGAGUGCAGAAGAGAAGAGCGGAAUUCCACGUGUAGCGGUGAAAUGCGUAGAGAUGUGGGGGAACACCAGUGGCGAAGGCGGCUCUUUGGUCUGUAACUGACGCUGAGGCGCGAAAGCGUGGGGAGCAAACAGG